UACGGGGGGGGUAAGCGUUGUUCGGAAUCAUUGGGCGUAAAGGGCGCGUAGGUGGUUCUGUAUGUCUGCCGUGAAAGGGUACAGCUCAACUGUAGCUUGUCGGCAGAAACUGCAGGACUUGAGGCUGGGAGGGGCUGGUGGAAUUCCCUGUGUAGCGGUGAAAUGCGUAGAGAUGGGGGAGAACACUCGUGGCGAAGGCGGCCAGCUAGACCAGUUCUGACACUGAGGCGCGACAGCGUGGGGAGCAAACAGG
rnacentral:rRNA from 1 species